rnacentral:lncRNA from 1 species
UAUGACCCCUGUGUUAUUGCUGUACCAGUCCACCACUCUAGGUCUAUGACCCCUGUGUUAUUGUCGUACCAAUCCACCACUCUAGGUCUAUGACCCCUGUGUUAUUGUCGUACCAAUCCACCAGGUCUAUGACCCCUGUGUUAUUGCUGUACCAAUCCACCAGGUCUAUGACCCCUGUGUUAUUGCUGUACCAGUCCACCAGGUCUAUGACCCCUGUGUUAUUGCUGUACCAGUCCACCAGGUCUAUGACCCCUGUGUUAUUGCUGUACCAAUCCACCAGGUCUAUGACCCAGCCCUUUAUAAUGGUAGAAAGGCUCCACUUUCUUCAGAUGGGAAUCUGUUUUUUUCAACCUGACCAAAUUCACAUAGAAAUGUGAGUUAUAGAUCAGUCAUUCUCAUCGAAAGCCAGUCUUAAGAAGCGGUAGAUCUGUUCUUAUUUCUAUGCUUCCCGUUCUUUUUAUGUUUUGUUUUUUUGCGUCUUUUACUUUCGGUUUUGUACACCAACUUCAAACAGCUGAAAAUACAAUAUUUUUGGGGGUUUAUUGAAGAGAUAUUCCACAGCAGUUUAGAUGGUACAAGGAUUCUCUACUCUAUACUGUCACGUCCUGACCAGUAAUAGGGGUUAUUUGCUAUUGUAGUUUGGUCAGGACGUGGCAGAAGGGUAUUUGUUUUAUGUGGUUCGGGGUGGUGGUUUGUUUAGUAGGGUAUUUGAUUUAUGUAAACCCGGGGGUGUUUUUGGGCACUGUUCUAUGUUAGUGUAUUUCUAUGUUCUGUCUAGUCUUUUGUAUUUCUAAUGUUUUGUUAAUUGGGGUGUUGGACUCUCAAUUGGAGGCAGGUUGUUUUCUAGUUGCCUCCGAUUGAGAGUCCUAUAUAUAUAUGUGUGUGUUUGUUGAGUGCUUGGUGGGAGAUUGUUCUGUGUAUAGCCUUGUGCCUUACCAACCUGUGAAUAGUCGUUGUGGUUUCUUUGUGU